AUGAACGCUAGCGGCAGGCUUAACACAUGCAAGUCGAGGGGCAGCAUAAUGGAUAGCAAUAUCUAUGGUGGCGACCGGCGCACGGGUGCGUAACGCGUAUGCAACCUACCUUUAACAGGGGGAUAACACUGAGAAAUUGGUACUAAUACCCCAUAAUAUCAUAGAAGGCAUCUUUUAUGGUUGAAAAUUCCGAUGGUUAGAGAUGGGCAUGCGUUGUAUUAGCUAGUUGGUGGGGUAACGGCUCACCAAGGCGACGAUACAUAGGGGGACUGAGAGGUUAACCCCCCACACUGGUACUGAGACACGGACCAGACUCCUACGGGAGGCAGCAGUGAGGAAUAUUGGUCAAUGGACGCAAGUCUGAACCAGCCAUGCCGCGUGCAGGAUGACGGCUCUAUGAGUUGUAAACUGCUUUUGUACGAGGGUAAACGCAGAUACGUGUAUCUGUCUGAAAGUAUCGUACGAAUAAGGAUCGGCUAACUCCGUGCCAGCAGCCGCGGUAAUACGGAGGAUUCAAGCGUUAUCCGGAUUUAUUGGGUUUAAAGGGUGCGUAGGCGGUUUGAUAAGUUAGAGGUGAAAUUUCGGGGCUCAACCCUGAACGUGCCUCUAAUACUGUUGAGCUAGAGAGUAGUUGCGGUAGGCGGAAUGUAUGGUGUAGCGGUGAAAUGCUUAGAGAUCAUACAGAACACCGAUUGCGAAGGCAGCUUACCAAACUAUAUCUGACGUUGAGGCACGAAAGCGUGGGGAGCAAACAGGAUUAGAUACCCUGGUAGUCCACGCUGUAAACGAUGUCGACUUGGAGGUUGUGCCCUUGAGGCGUGGCUUCCGGAGCUAACGCGUUAAGUCGACCGCCUGGGGAGUACGGCCGCAAGGUUGAAACUCAAAGGAAUUGACGGGGGCCCGCACAAGCGGAGGAACAUGUGGUUUAAUUCGAUGAUACGCGAGGAACCUUACCCGGGCUUGAAAGUUAGCGACGAUUCUUGAAAGAGGAUUUCCCUUCGGGGCGCGAAACUAGGUGCUGCAUGGUUGUCGUCAGCUCGUGCCGUGAGGUGUCGGCUUAAGUGCCAUAACGAGCGCAACCCUUAUCGAUAGUUACCAUCAGGUUAUGCUGGGGACUCUGUCGAGACUGCCGUCGUAAGAUGUGAGGAAGGUGGGGAUGACGUCAAAUCAGCACGGCCCUUACGUCCGGGGCUACACACGUGUUACAAUGGUAGGUACAGAGGGCAGCUACCCAGCGAUGGGAUGCGAAUCUCGAAAGCCUAUCUCAGUUCGGAUUGGAGGCUGAAACCCGCCUCCAUGAAGUUGGAUUCGCUAGUAAUCGCGCAUCAGCCAUGGCGCGGUGAAUACGUUCCCGGGCCUUGUACACACCGCCCGUCAAGCCAUGGGAGCCGGGGGUGCCUGAAGUUCGUGACCGCAAGGAGCGACCUAGGGCAAAACUGGUGACUGGGGCU
rnacentral:rRNA from 1 species